GAUGAACGCUGGCGGCGUGCCUAAUACAUGCAAGUCGAGCGAACGGACGAGAAGCUUGCUUCUCUGAUGUUAGCGGCGGACGGGUGAGUAACACGUGGAUAACCUACCUAUAAGACUGGGAUAACUUCGGGAAACCGGAGCUAAUACCGGAUAAUAUUUUGAACCGCAUGGUUCAAAAGUGAAAGACGGUCUUGCUGUCACUUAUAGAUGGAUCCGCGCUGCAUUAGCUAGUUGGUAAGGUAACGGCUUACCAAGGCAACGAUGCAUAGCCGACCUGAGAGGGUGAUCGGCCACACUGGAACUGAGACACGGUCCAGACUCCUACGGGAGGCAGCAUUAGGGAAUCUUCCGCAAUUGGCGAAAGCCUGACGGAGCAACGCCGCGUGAGUGAUGAAGGUCUUCGGAUCGUAAAACUCUGUUAUUAGGGAAGAACAUAUGUGUAAGUAACUGUGCACAUCUUGACGGUACCUAAUCAGAAAGCCACGGCUAACUACGUG
rnacentral:rRNA from 1 species